rnacentral:lncRNA from 1 species
ACCUUCAACCGCUGAGAGUGGUCAUUGCGGAUAAACAGCACAGUUUCCCCAACCCUUCCUGAGACAAUCUUGCGGUAUACUCCACAUCAUCCCCUGAGGGCCCCUCUGGGACUGUGCCCCAGUUGCCCAUAAAGGUAACUAGCUCUUUUUUUUGUUUGUUUGUUUGUUUUUGAGACAGAGUCUUGCCCUGUUGCCCAGACUGGAGUGCAGUGGCAUGAUCUUGGCUCACUACAACCUCUGCCUCCCGGGUUCAAGCAAUUCUCCUGCCUCAGCCUCCCAAGUACCUGGGAUUACAGGCACCCACCGUCACGCCCGGCUAAUUUUUGUAUUUUGUUUCACCAUGUUGACUAGGCUGGUCUUGAACUCCUGACUUCAGGUGAUCCGCCCUCCUCAGCCUCCCAAAGUGCUGGGAUUACAGGCAUGAGCCACUGCGCCUGGCCAACUGCCCAACUUCUAACUGCUGCCUUCAACCAAGGAAUGGAUAGAGGUGGUGUAUAAAUACCCCAGCUUCCUGAUUGUUUUGCAGUGGGCAGGUCUAUGCAAACUUACCCCAAAGUCCAAGGAAGCUGAGAGGCUGAAGAGAUGAUGCUGACAUACUCAGUUCCUUAGAAAGAAACUUUUAAUAGAAACUUAGAAACAGAUGCCACGUCUGUGUCUCCUGCGGUGGCCAGACAAGAUGGUGGAUCCCCACUCCAUUAUCUCCCAGACCCAGGGCUUCUAUACCAUAGGAGAGGGGUGGUUCAGAAGGGAUGUGUAGAACAGUUGAAGUAAGAUAACAUCAAGGUUGUUUGACCUAAGGACAGGAUAUAGAGUCAGAACCUGCUCUUACACAAGGAAUAAUAGAUAAACUAGAAAUCUUAGAGGCCUUCUUGGAACAGGGGUUAAUCAGAAGCCAACAUGGCGGAUUAGCUUCCAAGAUGGAGUUGCUGAUCCUUCAGUAACCUGAGUUUCCAUUUGGGAACCACCCCUUCUGGAAGUUCGCUCCAUCAGGAAGUUCCCUUGAGCCUGUAACCCAACAAGGAGCAUGUGACUUAGCACCAACGAACCAGAGCAGUGGAGGUACAAUAACUAUGAUGAUUGGCUAGGUACAGUGGCUCACGCCUGUAAUCCAGUGCUUUGGGAGGCUGAGGCGGGGGGAUGACCUGAGGUCAGGAGUUCGAGACCAG